UAAGAAGUAAAAGUCGUAACAAGGUCUCCGUUGGUGAACCAGCGGAGGGAUCAUUA
rnacentral:rRNA from 1 species